GAGUUUGAUCUUGGCUCAGAUUGAACGCUAGCGGGAUGCUUUACACAUGCAAGUCGAACGGCAGCGCGAGAGAGCUUGCUCUCUUGGCGGCGAGUGGCGGACGGGUGAGUAAUAUAUCGGAACGUGCCCAGUAGCGGGGGAUAACUACUCGAAAGAGUGGCUAAUACCGCAUACGCCCUACGGGGAAAGGGGGAGGUCGCAGACCUCUCACUAUUGG
rnacentral:rRNA from 1 species